UUUAUAGUUUUCCCUCUAUAGUUUCCACACAAUAACCAUCUCCCCCAAAAUGAAUUUCCAAUUCCCAGAAUCACGUUUAACAAAAAUCGGUUUCCCUCCCCCAACCCUUCAUGGAUUUUGGUUAUCAUUCGCAUUCGCGCUCAAGGAGUCAAACUUCAGAGCCGUUGUGGCUGAGAAUCGUGAUAUCGGUUCAAUUCGCAUAAAUUAUGUAGGUGGUCAACAAUAAUAGGUGGUAUACGCAAGCAGAAUACUGAGUAGAUCAAACGAAUAUACCUCAGAUGUAUUGUGUUUUAGUCAUACUCACAUAUUCAAGCCUUAUCCCAUCUUACAUGUAUCCUAAGGAAAAAGAAGACUGUUCCAUCAUACAACUAUGUGUGUGACACUGAUGCACGAUUAUUUAGUGAUCUCAUUAUAUGGUCUAUUGGACAGGGUGACGUAGAAAUUCUUUCUCAGCUUGAUAUGCUUAGAGAUGCUAAUGAAGUCUCUUAUUCUUAUGAACUAGUAGAACAUUAGUAUAAGAUUCUUGAAGUGGGACAAUAGUCGUCUAAUAUCCUUUUUUAAUUGCCAUUUGUGGUGCUGCUACGCCUUUGUAUUCGAGGCAAAUUGAUACCUGUGUUGAAGAUGAUGUCAAAUUCCCAAAUUUUGUCAACAAGGAUGAAAUCACAUGCAUCUUGGGGGAAGCUUCUGCGUGUGAUUUUGAUGAAGAAAUUCUCUUUAAAAAUCAGGGGACAGGGGACUGCAAGCAGUUGAGUACAAGCUUCACUUCUGAGGCUGAUAAUGAUAACUACCAGAAUAUAAAUCCUUUUAUUUCUGGCGGAAAUAGAAAAGGUGUUUGCACUUGGCUUGCAGAAAAUGCAGAUAUUAAUGUGACUAAUAAUUGUGCUUCAUUCCACUCUUUAUCUUCCAAACUUAGAUGUCAUCUAAAGGUGGCCAAGGCAAAGCCAAACACAAGUUUUCUAUUCGAACACAGUCACAUAAGGACAAUUUAAAUAAAGAUUCAAGUGAUGUCUAUGAAAGUCACACAUUAGUUAAGGAAAAAGAGAUGGAUGGGAUGACGAAUUAUAUGACGCCAGCUAGAUUUCCGAUUUCACAUACUCAUUCCACGACUUCAGUAGCAGAGCUCCUUUUACGGGUUCAAAUUGAACAUGAUCUACCUGAAGGAAGUACUGUAAAUGAACAUGCCCUGUUUCAUUAGUUAAGAGGUGUGUAUGUUGACCCAUUUACAUACGAAUGAGUGGAUUUGAUAUAUAUUUUCUUCUAAAGGGUUAAAUGGGUAAGCUACAGGUUACAAGAGUCAAAUAAAUACUAAACAAGUAUCUGAUAUCUCGUGGAUCCCAACCCGUAUUUAUUAACUCGAUUGCCUUUUCCCUUUGGUUAUUGACUUAAUUCGGUUUGGCUGUAUUCAUCUUCUUUAUGUUCUUGUUUCAAUUGUUUUUUCAUGUUUCAAUGCUGGUGGGUGAUUUCUUGAGACAAAGAGAGGAUGGUUAUGAUAUUGGUGAAGGUUUCAAAGAUUUAUUAAAAGAAAUUGCUGCUUUGGAUUAUGGUUAAGAUGUCUAGUUUAGGCCCACCAUGCUUUCGAUGAAAUUCUAAAGAGAAAAAAAAAAACUAAUAAUGUUUCCUUUUGUGGUUCAAGAACAAUAACCAGAUUUGGGAAUAGAAAGCCUCAGCUUGAUCUGGUGAGUACCCAUUUGUUAUUUGGUUAGGCUCUCGAAUGCAGAUUGACCAUGGUAUAUUGACAGGGUUAAGGAUGAUAAUUAUUUUACCAAAUUCUUACAUUAUUCUAACUAGGGAUGAAGAUUUGAAUACCGUACCGGUAUUCAGUAACUAGGUAUUUUCGUUAUAGGUCCCAGUUCAGUACCAAUACCUUGUAGAGAGAGCUUUCAGUAACGGUUGGGCUUGUAAAUGAACCGAACGAACACGAACAGAGGCAUGUUUAUGUUCGUUCAUUUAACUUUAACCGAACACAAACAUAUAAUUGAGCACAUUUUUGUUCAUGUUCGAAGGACUAUAAACAAAUGUAAAGAUCGAGAGGACAUUAUGGUUAGUCUAUUUUCAAUCUGCUAUUUUUACUGCAAACUUUCUUAUUAUACCAGAUAAUGGAUUUACAUCAUAUGAAACUUUUGUUAUGUCCUAUAUUUCAGACCAUGGUUGAAUUGAUGGGGGCACAAGUUUUGAAACCGCUGAUUGCAACCAAAGUUACUCAUCUUAUAUGCUACAAAUUAGAAGGUGUGUUGUAUUAACUUAGUUCACUUAUGCAUUUUCUCUAGGUGGCUUUUUUACUGAACAAGAUAUUAAGAGCCUACCAUGUUUACAGGUGAUGGCAAUUCCGACAACUAGGGGUAUUGAAAAAACCACCCAAUCUUUUGGCUGAAGAGCUUCAAGUGAUGUCAAAAGAAGUUGAGUAUAGUCAGUUGGCUGAUGUAGCGACAAUAAGUAGUAAGUGUUGGGAACUAUGAAGUGGAAGUAUGACUGCUAAGAAAACGUUAACACGAUGAUUAUUUAACUCACAUGAAGAUUGUGAAAGAGAUUCAUGAACACAAUGAAGUUUUGAGUUUUUAUUGAUACACGUGUUAGUUUAUUUGGGUUAUAUGUUUGAUCAUUAGACUUAGAUCGACACUUAUUAGGCAUUUGGAAUCUUUGGAAGAUUGAUUGAACUUUUAAUUGAA